UCGGGAAUAUUGCACAAUGGGCGAAAGCCUGAUGCAGCGACGCCGCGUGAGCGAAGAAGGCCUUCGGGUCGUAAAGCUCUGUCCUAUGGGACGAUAAUGACGGUACCAUAGGAGGAAGCCCCGGCUAACUACGUGCCAGCAGCCGCGGUAAUACGUAGGGGGCGAGCGUUGUCCGGAAUGACUGGGCGUAAAGGGUACGUAGGCGGCCAGGUAAGUCAGGUGUGAAAGUCUAGGGCUCAACCCUAGUGAGCACUUGAAACUGCUUGGCUUGAGUCGAGGAGAGGAAGGUGGAAUUCCUGGUGUAGCGGUGAAAUGCGUAGAUAUCAGGAGGAACACCAGUGGCGAAGGCGGCUGCCUGGGGAGUCACUGACGCUGAGGCGCGAAAGCUAGGGGAGCAAACAGG
rnacentral:rRNA from 1 species